CAGAUACCGUCGUAGUCUUAACCAUAAACUAUGCCGACUAGGGAUCGG
rnacentral:rRNA from 4 species